rnacentral:rRNA from 1 species
GAUGAACGCUGGCGGCGUGCCUAACACAUGCAAGUCGAGCGGGAUUCAUGAGGACGAAACUUCGGUCUAGAAAUCAUGAUGAGAGCGGCGGACGGGUGAGUAACGCGUAGGCAACCUGCCCUUAGCACAGGGAUAGCCUCGGGAAACCGGGAUUAAAACCUGAUAAUGCCACACAGCCACAUGGCUGUUUGGCCAAAGAUUUAUCGGCUAAGGAUGGGCCUGCGUCUGAUUAGUUAGUUGGUGGGGUAACGGCCUACCAAGACGACGAUCAGUAGCCGACCUGAGAGGGUGAUCGGCCACAUUGGAACUGAGACACGGUCCAAACUCCUACGGGAGGCAGCAGUGGGGAAUAUUGCACAAUGGGCGAAAGCCUGAUGCAGCAACGCCGCGUGAGCGAUGAGGGCCUUUGGGUCGUAAAGCUCUGUCCUAGGGGACGAACACAAUGACGGUACCCUUGGAGGAAGCCCCGGCUAACUACGUGCCAGCAGCCGCCGUAAAAC